rnacentral:rRNA from 1 species
UAGUAACGGCGAGUGAAGCGGCAACAGCUCAAAUUUGAAAUCUGGCGUCUUCGGCGUCCGAGUUGUAAUUUGCAGAGGGCGCUUUGGCAUUGGCAGCGGUCCAAGUUCCUUGGAAAGGACGUCACAGAGGGUGAGAAUCCCGUACGUGGUCGCUAGCCUUUACCGUGUAAAGCCCCUUCGACGAGUCGAGUUGUUUGGGAAUGCAGCUCUAAAUGGGAGGUAAAUUUCUUCUAAAGCUAAAUACUGGCCAGAGACCGAUAGCGCACAAGUAGAGUGAUCGAAAGAUGAAAAGCACUUUGGAAAGAGAGUUAAAAA